rnacentral:lncRNA from 1 species
ACAAUCAAGGCAAAGCCACAUCCAGUAGCAACGACUGCUUCAAUGGAAGAAACGAAAAGGAAUAAAAUCGGAAAAGACUCGGUCCCCUAUGAAAUCUAGCGGCCAGUGGCUAAAUCUGGUUGCCAAGGACUCCUAGAGUUCGGAACAAAGAGAUGAAGAAGGGUAAGGGUCAAUACCUCAACUCUAGUGAUAAAUCGAUAGUAACCC